GACAGAGGUGCCAAGCGUUAGGCGGAAUCACUGGGCUUAAAGCGUGUGUAGGCGGACCUGUAAGUACCUUGUGAAAUCCCACGGCUCAACCGUGGAACUGCUUGGUAUACUGCUUGUCUUGAGCCACUUAGGGGCUACCGGAACAAAUGGUGGAGCGGUGAAAUGCGUAGAUAUCAUUUGGAACGCCAAUGGUGAAAACAGGUAGCUGGGAGUGUGCUGACGCUGAGACACGAAAGCCAGGGGAGCGAACGGG
rnacentral:rRNA from 1 species